rnacentral:rRNA from 1 species
AGAGUUUGAUUCUGGCUCAGGAUGAACGCUGGCGGCGUGCCUCAUACAUGCAAGUCGGACGGAACUAUUAGUGUAGCAAUAUAUUGAUAGUUUAGUGGCGAACGGGUGAGUAACACGUAGCUAACCUGCCCUAAAGUCUGGGAUAACAUACCGAAAGGGAUGCUAAUACCGGAUAAGACAAGAUGCCGCAUGGCAUCAGGUUAAAAGAUGGCCUCUGUUUACAAGCCGCGCUUUUGGAUGGGGCUGCGGUCCAUUAGGUAGUUGGUGUGGUAAUGGCGCACCAAGCCGACGAUGGAUAGCCGGGCUGAGAGGCUGGACGGCCACAAUGGAACUGAGACACGGUCCAUACUCCUACGGGAGGCAGCAGUAGGGAAUAUUCCGCAAUGGGCGAAAGCCUGACGGAGCGACGCCGCGUGAAUGAAGAAAUCUUUCGGGAUGUAAAGUUCAAUCGACCAGGGAAGAAUGGUUAUCAUAUUAAUAAUAUGGUAGCAGGGACGGUACCUGGAAUGAAGCCACGGCUAAUUACGUGCCAGCAGCCGCGGUAAUACGUAAGUGGCAAGCGUUAUCCGGAAUCACUGGGUGUAAAGGGUGUGUAGGCGGUAAUUUAAGUUUUGCGUUUAAUUUCAGGGCUCAACCCUGAAUGUGCGCGAAAUACUGAAUUGCUUGAGUGACGAAGAGGAAGUUGGAACUCCAGGUGAAGCGGUGAAAUGUGUAGAUAUCUGGGGGAACACCAAUGGCGAAGGCAGGCUUCUGGUCGUCAACUGACGCUGAGACACGAAAGCGUGGGGAGCAAACAGGAUUAGAUACCCUGGUAGUCCACGCAGUAAACGAUGUUCACUAGGUGUGAGAGGUAUCGACCCCUUUCGUGCCGCAGUUAACGCAUUAAGUGAACCACCUGGGGAAUACGACCGCAAGGUUAAAACUCAAAGAAAUUGACGGGGGCCCGCACAAGCGGUGGAGUAUGUGGUUUAAUUCGAUGCAACCCGAAGAACCUUACCAGAACUUGACAUGUCGAUGCAAGGCUAUGGAAGCAUAGUCCCCUGUACAGCAAUGUAUAGCGUUGAGCACAGGUGGUGCAUGGCUGUCGUCAGCUCGUGUCGUGAGAUGUUGGGUUAAGUCCC